rnacentral:rRNA from 1 species
AAAUUGAAGAGUUUGAUCAUGGCUCAGAUUGAACGCUGGCGGCAGGCCUAACACAUGCAAGUCGAGCGGAAACGAGUUAAUUGAACCUUCGGGGGACGUUAACGGCGUCGAGCGGCGGACGGGUGAGUAAUGCCUAGGAAAUUGCCCUGAUGUGGGGGAUAACCAUUGGAAACGAUGGCUAAUACCGCAUGAUGCCUACGGGCCAAAGAGGGGGACCUUCGGGCCUCUCGCGUCAGGAUAUGCCUAGGUGGGAUUAGCUAGUUGGUGAGGUAAGGGCUCACCAAGGCGACGAUCCCUAGCUGGUCUGAGAGGAUGAUCAGCCACACUGGAACUGAGACACGGUCCAGACUCCUACGGGAGGCAGCAGUGGGGAAUAUUGCACAAUGGGCGCAAGCCUGAUGCAGCCAUGCCGCGUGUGUGAAGAAGGCCUUCGGGUUGUAAAGCACUUUCAGUCGUGAGGAAGGUAGUGUGUUUAAUAGAUGCAUUAUUUGACGUUAGCGACAGAAGAAGCACCGGCUAACUCCGUGCCAGCAGCCGCGGUAAUACGGAGGGUGCGAGCGUUAAUCGGAAUUACUGGGCGUAAAGCGCAUGCAGGUGGUUUGUUAAGUCAGAUGUGAAAGCCCGGGGCUCAACCUCGGAAUAGCAUUUGAAACUGGCAGACUAGAGUACUGUAGAGGGGGGUAGAAUUUCAGGUGUAGCGGUGAAAUGCGUAGAGAUCUGAAGGAAUACCGGUGGCGAAGGCGGCCCCCUGGACAGAUACUGACACUCAGAUGCGAAAGCGUGGGGAGCAAACAGGAUUAGAUACCCUGGUAGUCCACGCCGUAAACGAUGUCUACUUGGAGGUUGUGGCCUUGAGCCGUGGCUUUCGGAGCUAACGCGUUAAGUAGACCGCCUGGGGAGUACGGUCGCAAGAUUAAAACUCAAAUGAAUUGACGGGGGCCCGCACAAGCGGUGGAGCAUGUGGUUUAAUUCGAUGCAACGCGAAGAACCUUACCUACUCUUGACAUCCAGAGAACUUUUCAGAGAUGAAUUGGUGCCUUCGGGAACUCUGAGACAGGUGCUGCAUGGCUGUCGUCAGCUCGUGUUGUGAAAUGUUGGGUUAAGUCCCGCAACGAGCGCAACCCUUAUCCUUGUUUGCCAGCGAGUAAUGUCGGGAACUCCAGGGAGACUGCCGGUGAUAAACCGGAGGAAGGUGGGGACGACGUCAAGUCAUCAUGGCCCUUACGAGUAGGGCUACACACGUGCUACAAUGGCGCAUACAGAGGGCGGCCAACUUGCGAAAGUGAGCGAAUCCCAAAAAGUGCGUCGUAGUCCGGAUUGGAGUCUGCAACUCGACUCCAUGAAGUCGGAAUCGCUAGUAAUCGUGGAUCAGAAUGCCACGGUGAAUACGUUCCCGGGCCUUGUACACACCGCCCGUCACACCAUGGGAGUGGGCUGCAAAAGAAGUAGGUAGUUUAACCUUCGGGGGGACGCUUACCACUUUGUGGUUCAUGACUGGGGUGAAGUCGUAACAAGGUAGCGCUAGGGGAACCUGGCGCUGGAUCACCUCCUUAUACGAUGAU